rnacentral:rRNA from 1 species
UUUGAUGGCGACCGGCGCACGGGUGAGUAACACGUAUCCAACCUGCCGAUGACUCGGGGAUAGCCUUUCGAAAGAAAGAUUAAUACCCGAUGGCAUAGUUCUUCCGCAUGGUAGAACUAUUAAAGAAUUUCGGUCAUCGAUGGGGAUGCGUUCCACUAGGUUGUUGGCGGGGUAACGGCCCACCAAGCCUUCGAUGGAUAGGGGUUCUGAGAGGAAGGUCCCCCACAUUGGAACUGAGACACGGUCCAAACUCCUACGGGAGGCAGCAUG